GAGGAUGCUUAAGAUGCAAAAGAUCCAAGAAGAAGAAGCCAAGCUCAAGCAGUCCCAGAAACAGCCCAUUCCUCUCAUUCCCAAAACCGCCAAUGCUUAGAAUUUUUCGAUCUUUUGGAAGCUUGGAAUUGAUGGGAUGGGUGGACGCUUUGAUGUUUGUUUCUGCUAUUGGUGGGAUACAUUUAGGAGUGUUUCAGGAGAUGACUGUAACAGACUCCAAAUAUUUUCUUCUCUAAUCUCUAUCACUUGUUUGACCGUGUUUCAAGCGGUGGAAUAAGAAUAAAAUUCCUCAUGAAGAUUGAUUUUAUCCAAGAUAAAAUAUCAUGUUUCUUCUACCUCUUCAACACCCUCCAAAAUCUAUUGUGAAGAAAUUAAAGAAUAUAGGGCUUUUUUUUUUCUUUUCUUUUUUGGGUAUUUCGUGAUUUGCUCUAUUUUAUGGCUUGCGUUUUGAUGUUGAAAAUUUUAGAUGCCUGGUACUGAUUGUCUUAAACUCAGUGUAUAGGAGGGGUGUAGAUUUUUUAGCAUGUGCCGUCAAUCAACCCAAACAAUGGUAUUACAUCCAGUUUAGAGAUAUAACCCAUUAGUUGCAUUCUUUAAAGCAGGGGUACGUUUCAAAUUGUAUAUGGUAGGUCAGAUGCUGGAAAUUUGUUUCUUUCUGCAAUGAUGCUAUGGAACAUUAGUAGUGUGGGUUUAACUAGUGCUAGAAUCUCAUAAUCCACGCCCAAGAAACAUUGUUGUGCGAGAGAAAAAAAUCCUGUCUUCAUGAAUGAAUGAAUGGAAAAUCACUUCCUUUUCUGCUGGGUGCGAGCUGUUUUCUGGUUGCAAGCCUCUGCAUUUCAUUGAAGGUAUGAACAACGCCCCAACCGAUGAUUAAAAAGCUAGCUCUGAAACAAAAUGCAUCCAAGUCCACCCGUCAGUGUGCAUUUGAACAGAGACAGGCGGCUCACAUGAGUAAACAAACAACAGGAUUUCAGGGAGAACUUUUCAUUUUUGACAUAAAAUCUGUGUUUGACUGAAAAAGAGAAUUGUUUUCUGGUUUUGAGAACCGAAAAAAUCGAAUAGGUAUUUGACAAUAUGCCAUUGAAAACAGGGUUGCAAAUCCUUUAUUAAUUGUAAAAUCAAUGUUAUGCUAUGUUGUUGCCAUUUUGACAUAAACUUUGUGAGGGAUCGAACGUGCUUUUACAUUCUCUUCUAUAAAUAUUUUUGGAUGUCAUUGAUAUAUUGAGAAGUUUAGUUGAGAUUUAGUUACCCAUUAUACAAUUUGUAACUGCUGAUGAAAAGAAAUUCAUGCAUGGAUCCUAACCUUAUAGUUUGAAAGUAGUUCAAGGAAACGAUGAAGGUGUGUGGGAGCAAAUAAUGUAUCUUGUAAAGAGCACCACUUUUUAUUUAAUCAUUUUGACAUCACCUAAAUCCUCUUACCAGCCUCUCAUCAUUAUGGCAUUUAAACCUUCUGUAUUUAUUACUUUCUAUCCACAAACACACAUUCUGAAAGGUGAAAUGGAGCUGGAACCUCCUUUGCAUAAUGAUCAGCAGAAGCUCUCUGAGAAGAGGUUGUUGGGAAAAGUUGCAAUUAUAACUGGGGGUGCAAGAGGGAUUGGAGCAGCCACAGCAAAAUUGUUUGCUAGGCAUGGUGCCCAUGUUAUCAUAGCUGAUGUACUCGAUCACUUGGGGUUCACUCUUGCCGAUUCAAUAGGCGGCCGCUAUAUACACUGCGACGUGGCCAAGGAAGAUGACAUGGAGUCAGCUGUUCAGCUGGCACUCACAUGGAAAGGCCAACUAGAUAUCAUGUUCAACAAUGCCGGCAUUGGAGGGCUGGAUGGCAGCGUCACCAACAUUGACAUGACCAAGAUGAAGGCCCUUCUUGCAGUUAAUGUGAACGGCAACAUACAUGGAAUCAAACAUGCGGCACGGGCCAUGAUCAGAGGGCGAAAAGGAGGGUGCAUCAUAUGCACCUCCAGCUCUGCAGCCAUCAUGGGAGGCCUAGCAUCACACGGCUACACAUUGUCCAAAGAGGCUAUUGUCGGACUCAUGAGAAGCACCGCUUGUGAGUUGGGGGUGCAUGGAAUCCGCGUUAAUUGCAUUUCGCCACAUGGGGUCCCUACAGAGAUGCUUGUGAGUGGGUACCGAAAGAUCCUGGGAAAAGCGGAUGUGACGCCUGAAGAAGUGAGUCGAAUUGUGGGGAAGAGAGGGAGCCUGCUGCGUGGGAGGGGUGGGAGUGUGGAAGACAUUGCACAGGCCGCGCUGUUUUUGGCCAGCGAAGAUGCGGGCUUCAUAACAGCACACAAUCUUGUCCUUGAUGGGGGUUUUACUUCUGCUUGCAGCGACAUGAGUUUCAUCUACCAAGAACCGACUUGAGUUUGAUAUACCAAGAACAACGAUCAGUCAAGCAUGCAGAGGGGGAAAGAGAACAGAGUAAAGCAAACGGCUACCAUGGACAAUCCUUACUAAUUCAUACAGAGAUCAAAAGGAUGUAUCUAAUCUUAUAUGCUAAAUUUAUUUCUCAAAUGGCUAAGUACAUAUCCUAAUUCCUUCA